rnacentral:rRNA from 1 species
GACGAACGCUGGCGGCGUGCUUAACACAUGCAAGUCGAACGCUGAAGCUUGGUGCUUGCACUGGGUGGAUGAGUGGCGAACGGGUGAGUAAUACGUGAGUAACCUGCCCUUGACUCUGGGAUAAGCCUGGGAAACUGGGUCUAAUACUGGAUACGACAUGUCACCGCAUGGUGGUGUGUGGAAAGGGUUUUACUGGUUUUGGAUGGGCUCACGGCCUAUCAGCUUGUUGGUGGGGUAAUGGCUCACCAAGGCGACGACGGGUAGCCGGCCUGAGAGGGUGACCGGCCACACUGGGACUGAGACACGGCCCAGACUCCUACGGGAGGCAGCAGUGGGGAAUAUUGCACAAUGGGCGGAAGCCUGAUGCAGCGACGCCGCGUGAGGGAUGACGGCCUUCGGGUUGUAAACCUCUUUCAGCACGGAAGAAGCGAAAGUGACGUUACGUGCAGAAGAAGCGCCGGCUAACUACGUG